rnacentral:rRNA from 1 species
AACGAACGCUGGCGGCAUGCCUAACACAUGCAAGUCGAACGAUACCUUCGGGUCUAGUGGCGCACGGGUGCGUAACGCGUGGGAACCUGCCCUUAGGUUCGGAAUAACUCCCCGAAAGGGGUGCUCAUACCGGAUAAUGUCUUCGGACCAAAGAUUUAUCGCCUUUGGAUGGGCCCGCGUUGGUUUAGCUAGUUGGUAGGGUAAAAGCCUGCCAAGGCGACGAUCCAUAGCUGGUCUGAGAGGAUGAUAAGCCACACUGGGACUGAGACACGGCCCAGACUCCUACGGGAGGCAGCAGUGGGGAAUAUUGGACAAUGGGCGAAAGCCUGAUCCAGCAAUGCCGCGUGAGUGAUGAAGGCCUUAGGGUUGUAAAGCUCUUUUACCCGGGAUGAUAAUGACAGUACCGGGAGAAUAAGCUCCGGCUAACUCCGUG